AUGAGAGAGAGAGCGAGAGAGGAUGAGAGGGCGGGAGAGAAGGAAGGAGAGGAGGAUAAAGAGAAAGGAAAGAGGAGAGGGAGGUGCGGUGGCGGACAGGUAAGGGUGGGUGGAAGGAACGCCGCUGGCUUGUCGUUGUUCACACCGCGCUGGAGAAAGAGGAGAGGGAUGUGCGGGGCCAGAUGGGAGCGCCGCUGGCUCGUCAUCGUUCACACCGCACUGGGCCAGAGAUGCUUCUGUACAGCCCUCACAGUACACAAGUGGUUGCCCAUGAGGCCUCCUCCUGCUCGGCUUAUUCAUUGA
rnacentral:rRNA from 1 species